AGUUGUUAGUCUACGUGGACCGACAAGAACAGUUUCGAAUCGGAAGCUUGCUUAACGUAGUUCUGACAG
rfam:Dengue virus 1 gene for polyprotein, complete cds, strain: NDF30